GGUGCAGUGGGUCGGCGGGCACGCCCCGACGUUACCCGUUGCCCGUGGGGGAAGUCCUGCCUCCGGUACGGUUCGGUACCGAUCCGCACUCC
rnacentral:tRNA from 1 species